rnacentral:rRNA from 1 species
GACGAACGCUGGCGGCGUGCUUAACACAUGCAAGUCGAACGAAGAGCGAUGGAAGCUUGCUUCUAUCAAUCUUAGUGGCGAACGGGUGAGUAACGCGUAAUCAACCUGCCCUUCAGAGGGGGACAACAGUUGGAAACGACUGCUAAUACCGCAUACGAUCUAAUCUCGGCAUCGAGGAUAGAUGAAAGGUGGCCUCUACAUGUAAGCUAUCACUGAAGGAGGGGAUUGCGUCUGAUUAGCUAGUUGGAGGGGUAACGGCCCACCAAGGCGAUGAUCAGUAGCCGGUCUGAGAGGAUGAACGGCCACAUUGGGACUGAGACACGGCCCAGACUCCUACGGGAGGCAGCAGUGGGGAAUCUUCCGCAAUGGACGAAAGUCUGACGGGGCAACGCCGCGUGAGCGAUGACGGCCUUCGGGUUGUAAAGCUCUGUUAAUCGGGACGAAAGGCCUUCUUGCGAAUAGUGAGAAGGAUUGACGGUACCGGAAUAGAAAGCCACGGCUAACUACGU